CUGUCUCUCUCUCUCUCUCUCUCUCUCAAAAGAUUAAGCUUUAACCUUACACAACGAGCCGUUUCACAAUACCCCUACCUUUCUUUUCCGGCGUCGCGCAGAAGCUCCAUGAGAGCAGUAAGGUGAAAAACAAUCCGAUUUCAGUCGGUCUUGCCAUUUCUCGCGUGUAAAAAACCUCUCAGGCUUCACUCCAUACUUAAAAGGGCUCUUCUUUCAAGGGUUUCUGAAUGUUCGGGGAUCUUGCCUUCUCUUUGACAGCUCCUCCUCCGCGCUCGAGAACAUCAGCGGCGAGAAAGGCGAGUUCUGCGGGACGGGAGCCGAGCCCGUGACGUCAGCGGCAGGAGGGCUCGCGCGCGUGCUGAGCGCCGGACAGCUUCAGGUUUCGAAGCGCAAGACUACUGAGAGAAUGGGGAGAUGCGCUGGCACAUAUACAAAGUUGUGGACAUAAGAGGACACCCAGCUGGACAGUGAAGGAGCCGUCCAAAUCACCAAAGAAAAUGACUCGGACAGACAGAUGAACAACAGGCAACGCUGCAAUGAGGUCAAUCAGAAGGCUGUUUAAGUAUAGAUAUAGUAUCGUACUUAUCUUACGAAUUUUGAUCAUCAAAGCAUUGUUUUAGGACACACACAUAGGCGCAUAUAAAAACACAACACGUGCAUUCAACAAGAUAGUUGUUAGCCAUUCCUAAUUUUAAAAAAAUUUAAAUUUUGUACAUUUAAAAAAAGUUACAUUUCAUUUUUACUUAUAAUUUUGAUAAAUACUUUUAAAAAAAAUUAUUUUGAAUUUUGCUUCUCGAACACCAGAAGCACAAACCAAAUCUACAAAACCAUAUAAUAACAAUAAUCACAUAACCAGGGUGAGUAAAUGAUGACAGUAAAAUUUAGAAUUUUGGGUGAACUAUCCCUUUAACUUUAUAU